rnacentral:rRNA from 1 species
CACUAGAAGAUAAAGACUUUUAGCAAUACCUGCCCAGUGCGAAAUAUUACGGUAAACGGCCGCCCUAGCGUGAGGGUGCUAAGGUAGCGAAAUUCCUUGCCUUUUGAUUGUAGGCCUGCAUGAAUGGUUUAACGAGGGUUUAACUGUCUCUAAAUUUUUUAUUGAAAUUGUACUGAAGGUGAAGAUACCUUCAUUAAAAAGUUAGACAAAAAGACCCCGUGCAACUUUGAAAAUUGACUUUAUUCAGGAGUAAAAGAUUUUUAGGUGGGGCGCCUAGAAAGUAAGCCUAACCUUUCUGAGUAACUAACUCUUUCCGGAUUUGACCCGAUUAUAUUCGAUCAUAGGAGAAGUUACGCCGGGGAUAACAGGCUAAUCCUUUAGUAGAGUUCGUAUUGGCUAAAGGGAUUGGCACCUCGAUGUUGAAUCAGGGAUGAUAGCUUCAAGGCGUAGAGGCUUUGAAAGUAGGUCUGUUCGACCUUUAAUACCCU